rnacentral:rRNA from 1 species
UACGUAGGGUGCAAGCGUUAAUCGGAAUUACUGGGCGUAAAGCGUGCGCAGGCGGUUAUGUAAGACAGGUGUGAAAUCCCCGGGCUUAACCUGGGAACUGCAUUUGUGACUGCAUAGCUAGAGUACGGUAGAGGGGGAUGGAAUUCCGCGUGUAGCAGUGAAAUGCGUAGAUAUGCGGAGGAACACCGAUGGCGAAGGCAAUCCCCUGGACCUGUACUGACGCUGAGGAGCGAAAGCAUGGGGAGCGAACAGG